UUAAUAGGAUCAAAGACUAAGAACGCCGCGUCCUGCGGCAGCGUCUUUGUAACCCCCAUCUUGAGGG
rnacentral:sRNA from 1 species